CUCCACCACCAUCCUGACUGUGUUACUGGUUUUCCUUGUGUGCAUAAGGAGCAAGACACACAGCUGCCCUUGUAUAGAUUCUCCAGCAACACUUUUCUCUUCCUCCAACACAUAUGCAAAGGGUUACCAAAGUGGAGACAACCUCUGUUACAUUGCUUUAAGGGCGAUUGAGAUCACCAGAUCCAAACAGAGGGACGACACCUGGAGUGACUGCGUGUACAUUAAUGUUAAGCUAUAGAGCUGUUUCAUUGGUGUCUCUAUAGAAUCAGACACAAUUGUGUAUCUCUGUUACAGUGAAAAAGAAAACUGAAACAAACAAAUAAAUGAAUAUUAGUUUAAUGGGGUCUCUUCACAAGCAAUGUGUCAUAUGAGCAUCAGCAAAGUCACAAGAUGUAUAAUUCUACUUUAAACUGGUCUGUGGUUUCCAAGUAAGGGUG